AAAUUGUUGAAAGGGAAGCGCUUGUGACCAGACUUGCGCCGGGCAGCUCAUCAGGGGUUCUCCCCUGUGCACUCUGCCCGGCUCAGGCCAGCAUCGGUUUUCGUGGGAGGAUAAGAACGGUAGGAACGUGGCCCCCCUUCGGGGGGGUGUUAUAGCCUGCCGUACGAUACUCCCGUGGGGACCGAGGUUCGCGCUCCGCAAGGAUGCUGGCGUAAUGGUCAUCAGCGACCCGUCUUGAAACACGGACCAAGGAGUCGUCCAUUAGAGCGAGCGUUUGGGUGUAAAACCCGCACGCGUAAUGAAAGUGAACGCAGGUGAGAGCUUCGGCGCAUCAUCGACCGAUCCUGAUGUCUUCGGAUGGAUUUGAGUAAGAGUUUUAACGGACGGACCCGAAAGACAGUGAACUAUGCUUGUAUAGGGUGAAGCCAGAGGAAACUCUGGUGGAGGCUCGCAGCGGUUCUGACGUGCAAAUCGAU
rnacentral:rRNA from 1 species